rnacentral:piRNA from 1 species
UGCUAAUUGGUGACUGGUACACCGGCU